ACUGGAACAACAGCGCAAGGACCUUUUAGUCCGAUAGCAAUAAAGUAAAGCGCAGCCAGCGGAAAGGAAAUUUCAGCCAGGGAAGACUGCGAAGAAGACUUUUCCCCAUCAGCGACAGGGACAGUGAGUAAGCGUAGAUCCGCAGACCCAGCAGAAGGGACAAUUCCACCGACGGAGUCAGCGGAGGGAACUUUUGCAGCUAGUUGCAGCGAGGCGCAGCCAGCGGAGUGAAUUUUUUCAGCUGGGGUGACUGCGGAGGAGCCUUUUUAGCCUGCGGAGGCUUGCAGCGGAUAUAAAAAAUGGGCGACGAAAAAAGAAAGUUGUGGUCACAGAGUGACGUACAACAA